GGGGAGCAUCCACAAAUUGAGAUGUUGCCUGAUACAAACUUCCUACAGAAACCUCUGUAGUUUCCUGCUUGUGGUACUUGAGUAGGUUCCUCAAGUCUCAAAUUACAGAUACAUGA